AUGGGCUUCGACGUGGGCGUGGUCCCCUUCAACCCGGACGGCUGGGGCCCUCCCGACUUGCCGGGCGCGGCGCCGCUGCUGGGCGGGGCCGUCGCGACGGCCUCGAUCCCCUUCGCGCCCUUCUCCCGCUCCGACAAGCUGGGCCGCAUCGCCGACUGGACGCGCAACCCGGGCCACCCGGGCGCGCACGGCCACCACGGCGCGGCCGCCGUCUCCCGCGACUCGGUCUUCGACUUCUCCUCGGCCGACGACUCGCUCGCCGCCGCCGCCGAGGACUCGUCCUUCAGCCUCGUCGACGCCAAGCCGCCGCCCAAGCACCCGCGCUUCGGGCCCAAGUGGCGCUUCAACCAGCGGCCCCAGCUCCCCCAGCGCCGCGACGAGGAGGUCGAGGCCAAGCGCCGCGAGGCCGAGAAGGAGCGCGCCCGCCGCGAGCGCCACUACCAGAACCACCGCUCCCACCACCACCAGGGCUUCCGCGGCAACCAGCAGAACACCGCCAAGCCCUCCGUCGACAUCCAGCCCGACUGGACCAUCCUCGAGCAGAUCCCCUUCGCCAACUUCACCAAGCUCUCCUUCGCCGUCGCCGACCAGCCCGAGGACCUGCUCGUCUGCGGCGCCGUCGACUCGUACGACCGCGCCUACGACCGCGUCAACCCCAAGACGGCCCGCCGCCUCGAGCGCUUCAAGAACCGCCAGUUCUUCAAGAUCACCACCACCGACGACCCCAUCAUCCGCCGCCUCGCCGAGGAGGACAAGGCCACCGUCUUCGCCACCGACGCCAUCCUCGCCGCCCUCAUGUGCACGCCCCGCAGCAUCCUCUCCUGGGACAUUGUCGUGCAGCGCGUCGGCAACAAGCUCUUCUUCGACAAGCGCGAGGGCUCCCAGCUCGAUCUGCUCACUGUCAACGAGACUGCGCAGGAGCAGCUCCCUGAGAACAAGGAUGACAUCAAUUCCGCGCCGGCCCUUGCUGUCGAGGCCACCUACAUCAACCAGAACUUCUCGCAGCAGGUGCUGGUGCGUGAUGGCGAGAAGGUUACCUUUGAUGAGCCUAACCCGUUUGCCUCUGAGAAUGAGGAGGCGGCGCCUGUUUGCUACCGUUAUCGCCGCUGGAAGCUGGAUGAUGAUAUUAGCAUCAUUGCCCGCUGUGAAGUGCAUGCUGCUGGUGUUGAUCCCAGUGGUGCUCGCCAGUUCCUCACGCUUAAUGCACUCAAUGAGUUUGAUCCUAAGAUUACUGGUGUUGACUGGAAGCAGAAGCUCGAGUCCCAGCGUGGUGCUGUGCUUGCUACAGAGCUCAAGAACAAUGCCAACAAGCUCGCUCGCUGGACUGCCCAGGCUUUACUUUCUGGUGCUGACAUGAUGAAGUUGGGUUAUGUGUCACGUGUGCACCCCCGCGACCACUUCAACCACUCCAUACUCACUGUGAUGGGCUACAAGCCAAGGGAUUUUGCUACCCAGAUCAACCUCAACACUGCAAACAUGUGGGGCAUUGUCAAGUCGAUUGUGGACAUCUGCAUGAAGUUUGAAGAGGGAAAGUAUGUGCUUGUGAAAGAUCCUGCCAAGCCACAGAUGAGGAUUUAUCAGGUUCCUAAUGAUGCAUUUGAGAAUGAUUAUGUUGAAGAGCCACUUCCAGAGGAGGAGCAGAUUCGUCCGGCUACAGAUGAUGUCGAUGCUACUGCACAGGAGAUGGAUGCUGCUGCCGAGGCAGAGGCUAAUAAAGCAACUACUCAGGGUGGUGAGGGUGAGAAGAGUGCAGAUGCUGCUGCUGCUUGA
rnacentral:rRNA from 1 species